rnacentral:tRNA from 1 species
GGCCGGGUAGCUCAGUCGGUAGAGCAUCGGAACGGUAUUCCGAUGCCCCGGGUUCGAGUCCCGGUCUGGCUG